ensembl:lncRNA
CAGAAGGCUACAGCAGUUUGUGAGAGGCUCCUUGAGAGGGGCAGCGUUAGGCAGCAUCUGACUGCAGGGCGCUGGGCUGCUGCCUCCCACAUCCCAGGAGAUGCCACCAGGCAGAGCCUGGCAGCACUGAACGCUGAUAUUUUCCUGAUGCGUGAGUGCUUAAAAGCUGGAGGCUGAGCAAGGAUGGAGUUGAAACUACCAGCUAAAGUCGGUUUACACUGUGAGCAGACCACAAAUCUGGAACUAGGACUGUUCCUGAGCUUGUGAUUUCAUUCCUGACCACUGUAAAAGCUGAACUGAGCGGCUGCGGGUGGAGUAAGCCCUUCAGACGUCCCAGAUCUCAGAGAACUCACAGAACUCCGGGCUCACUCAGAACUUUGCUCCUCACAAAGGCUGUGCUAAAAAGAGGAAAAAUGAAAGUGGUGCUCAGAACUCUACUGAACGGGAACAAGGGCUCUGUUUGGGAAAAGAGUUCAUCUCAUCCUCCAUGCAUGUAUUUUUUAUACGCAGUGCUGCAUUUCAACUUAUACCUUUCUCUGAAGAGCCCCAUUGUUGGUCCCUACACAGGCUCCAGCCCCUGGGCAGAGGAACAGGAUGGUGGCAGAGCAAUGGCCUGGGAGGUUUAAUUUUUUUUUCUCCUGGAUGCUGAAUGCAGCGGCCCUUUUGUGAACAGCCAUUGUUUACAUUCUCCCUAACAAAAGUUGGGAUUUCCUCUGAUGCCAGCAGCCUCGUCACCGAUCUGUACAGCCAGCCAGAUGCUCAGAAAAGAUUUUUAAUAGUGGCUGAAUCAAUGUGAGCAUGCUCAGUGCUUGCAGCAGCAGCCUCCUGAAAGCCAAAGGCACUGGGACAGGAGGAGACUCCUCGUCACUGCUGAGCAAUCUUGCGUACAGAGGCCAAGCAGCCAGCACAGCUCCCUGCAGACCUCGGGCCAGGGGCUGUUUGCACGUCUUCAAAGCGUCUGCUGACAUCCCUCUGCUCAGAGGAGCCCCUAGUGUAUGGGGUGAGAUCUUUUCCACGGGGAUUGCAGACACCAGGUUCCCAACAUUUGGAUUUUGACCAUAAAAUCGAAAGGUUUCUCAAAACCUGUUGCUGAAGUGCCUAGGGAGCCAUCUGCCUCCUUAGCAGUUUUCUUUAAGAAUUUCUUCCCAUCUCAGAAGACCAAAUCUGACAGCACUGCGCCCUGCCUUGCCAUUGGAGAUACUGUGGAGUCUCCUUCUCUGCAGAUAUUCAAAACCCACCUGAACGCUUUGCUGUGUGACCUACUGCAGGGAACCUGCUUUAGCAGGGGAGCUGGAGCAGGUGAUCCCCAGAGGUCCCUUCCAACCCCUACAGUUCUGUGAUUCUGUGCCACCGGCUGUGCAACGGCGAUGCAAUUUGGAGCUAUCUGCAUCCAUCCCAGGGGACAAAGUGAAGAUUUUUCUCUCCCUCUCUCCAUUAUGUGCUCUGAGGAACACAGUGACAACGACACAAACUUGAUGCAACAUUGAUGAAAACUCUCCUGGCAUCAUUAAAAAAAAUAAAUGAACGUCACCAUAGACCGCAAAGGUUUCUGAAAGUUUCUCUUUGUAGCGCAUCGCUUCCCUCUUGCACCUAAAACUGUCCAGUAGCAAUUCAACUUAAAAUCAUUAAAAACGUCAAAGCUCCUGAAUCAUUUCCAAUGGAAAUAGGUGGACAACAACCCGAUGGUAAAGCUGCAUGCAGUCACCAUAGCGACGGGGCUUCUGAAAGGAUGCAGAGAGCAUCGCCAACGUCCACAGCGUGUGGAGGAGCACAAGCGGCCGAAAUGGGGGCUGGGGCAGGCAAGGAUUUGAUGAUUAAGGAUUUGGAGCAUCUCCCAUACGAGAAAAGGCUGAGAGACCUGGGACUGCUCAGUCUGGAGAAGGGAAGGCCGAGAGAGGAUCUCAUCACUGUUUAUAAAUAUUUGAAGCGCGGGAGCCAAGUCAAUGGGAGCAGACUCAUUUCAGUGGUGUGCAGCAGUAGAACAAGGGGAGAAACUGCAAUACAAGAAGUUCCUCUGUAGCACAAGAAGGAACUUUUUCAGUCACUGAAGGAGCACUGGAAAAGGCUGCCCAAAAAGGCCGUGGAGUCUCCUUCUCUGGAGAUAUCCAGGACCCAUCUGGACACCGAGCUUUGUGACCUGCUGUAGUACCUGCUUUAGCAGGAGGGUCAGUCUCAGUGUUAUUUCUAGAGAUCCCUUCCAAAACCUGCAAUUCUGAGAUUCUGUGACCACUUUGCUGCACUCUCCACCAAAAGACGAACUGGGGGGGACCUGGGGACUGCAGAUCCCCACGGGGGACCCUCUAGAGAUGUCUGCUGCAUGUUGUCCAGGCUGCAUGUUGUCCAGGCUGGGGAAGAGACCUCAUCACCAAAAUGGAUCUUUGUCAUUUUGAAUUUCAACUUGAGUGAGCCCAGAAGAACAUUAAAAAAUAUAUUUAAAAAUGAGCAGAAGCCAGGAUGAACCAGUUUGACACCACAGCCCCCCCCCCUUCCUCCCCCUUAAACACUCUGGAGGCGUUCAAGGCCAGGUUGGAUGGUGCUCUGGGCAGCCUGACCUGGUGAGUGGAAGCCCCAUGGCAGGGGGUUGAAAGUGGGUGGGAUUUGAGGUCCCUUCUAACGCAAAGCAUUCUGUGAUUCUAUGAUUAAAAAUAAAGGGCUUUGGACUCCUCUGGAUCUAUCACAGGACACAGCUCCAAGAGGACUUCAUCUCAUUCCGAAAGAAGAGACCACAGAGAAGUAUUGCUUUGCUACUCAGCGAAGAGCAAAUACUACUGAUAAAUAAUGUUGAUGAAGUCAGAGUGCUUAAUACUUUUUCUAUUAUUGAUCUUCAGUGGAAAUAUCGCUGCCAAGCAGGCAGUUAACAGAGAAAGUGAGAUGUAAGCCCAGAGUAAAAAAUUGGCUUGAGGGCACCUGGAUGAGCAAAACGUUCUUAGAUUCACUGUGUGGAUGUGGAGUCUUCAGUACAGGAGAUACAUGGACCUAUUGGAGCACAUCUAGAAGAGAGCCACAGAAAUGAUUCUGGGGGUGAAAAAAACAGCCUUGAGGACAAGCUGAGGAAGAGAAGGCUCUGGGGAGACCUGAGAGUGGCCUUUCAGUAUCUAAAGGGGGGCUGCGAAAAAUAAGGGGACAGACACUUUAGCAGAGUCUGUUGGGAAAGGAUGGGGGAAGAUGGUUUUGAACUAAAAGAAGGGAGAUUUAGACUGGAUAUGAGGAAAAAGGUUUUUAUGAUAAGGAUGGUGAGGCAGUGGCACAGGUUGCCCAGAGAGGUGGUGGAUCCCCAUCCCUGGAGACAGCCAAGGUCAAUCUGGAGGGGCUCUGAGCACCCUGAUGGAGCUGUGGGUGUCCCUGUUCAUUGCAGGGGAGUUGGACUGGAUGGCCUUUAAGGGUCUCUUCCAACUCAAGGAAUUCUAUGAUUCUACAAUUCUAUGAAUUUCAUCCAGAAACGAUGGCUAUUAUCUCAAGUUAUCUUCUGGUGGUUAAUUUGGGGAAUUUGUGGCAGAUAUGUCGGAGCACCCAAAGAUUAAAAAAGGGCAAAGGAAUUAAAAACACAUUAAACAGCAGAGAAGAGGAGACAAGAGAAUUUGCAGGCCAGUCAGCUCAACUUCAACUCUCAGAAAAAAAAAAUCUGGAACAAAUAAUCUGCUCAUUUGUAAAUUUCUAGGAGAUAGCAACAAGAGAAGCAGGCAGCUUGGGCUUGUCAACAGUGAGCCCUGCCAACCCAACUGAACUGCCUUCCAAGAGAGAAGAGCAGGCUCUGUGGAUGAAGGAGAAGCUCCAGAUGUGGCACAGCUCAGUGGCAGCAAGGCUUCCACAUGGUCUCAAGUGAUGCUCCCCUACACCAGGCAGGGAUACUCAUUGGAUGAAACCAGGUGGCAAAACCCUGCAUUAUUUCAGUCUGUAGCAGUGGUUUACAAUCAACAUGAAAGGUUGAAGUGGGUGAGGAUCAGUCAGGACCAGCUCAGGUGCGUGACCAUGCACUGGUUUCACAUAAAUCAGCUGCUUUCUGGAAGAAAGAUGAGGUUUGUUAAAGUCACAGAUGACCCAAAGCUGUGUCAGGCUACAAGUAACACAGAUAACUGUCCCGAAAAUAAUACAAAAGAUGUUUCAUACAAUAAAAUAAGACAUUCAAAUUUCAGGUGUACUUACUAAUAACAUCUUGGAAAGACUGACUAUACAUAUAGAUGAGAUCAGUCUAAAUCCUUAUAGUUACAUAUCUCCCUAAAUCAGGAAAUUGCCUUCUACUAGAGCACUGUGGAGAGCUCGCCUCCUGAUUUGUGCUGUCUCUGCAAAAGGGGAACCAAGACAUCUUUUAUUUUACACUUUCAUUUCUUAUUUUGAAGGACUCUAUUUUGCCUCAGGUGCACUAUAACUCACAUCAGUGACAAAGAAAUGUGAAAAGACUUCACUGCAUUACCCGCAAGCCUGGAGCUUCCAUCAGCUGGGAAUUCAAAGACACUCCGAGCUUUGUGCUGGCUGUUGUGGCAAGAAAACAGGCACAGAGCAGACUAGGGCUGAUCAUCAGAAAACUCUAUUGGUCAAACACAAGUGUUCACAACUGGUCCACUAACCACACAGGCUGACCUUCAUAGAAAUCAUACCUAUUCAGAUGAUAACAUGGAAAGCACGGUUCUUGGUAUCAUGUGUUCUCCAAAAUAACACCACCAGAACCAUGUCUCUGUCUUGCACUGGGUAACUCAUGCAGGAAGACAAACUGAAUUUGAGCAAAGGUUCUCACCACAGUGUGCAAGACUGCUCAGGGACCAUGCCAGACGCCAUGUUGAGCACCCAGAGGAAGAGUCCGGUGCUGCAUUCAACACAACAAAGUUCAGAAAUGAGUUUUAGCUUUAAGGAAGAAGUGCUAAAGGAAAAUUACUGUGGAGAUAAGUAUCACCUUAUGUCCCAAAAGAGAGCUAAAACAAGGUUACUGCAGCUUGGCAAAGAAUCCAAGCAGGAGUGGAGGCCACAUUUCCCCAAGACCUUCACCUUCCACAACAUGCAUUCUUCAUUGGUAGAGUCACAGCAUCUGCUGGAAAGCUCACUGGAAUUUCAGCCUAGAAGGAGUCACUCUCACCCUCAGAGUGUCCUUAGGUGACAUUAAAUCUUAAGUGAUAUCUUCAAUGGCAUCUUUGGAAAUCACUUGGAUAGACUAAUAUAUAAUUCGAUGACCAAAUCGUUUGAAACUAUUGAUUUAUACAUUCAAUCUUAAUCAUGAUCUUGGUGUGAUCAUCUCAUUGGUCUGCUGUCAUUUAGUUCAGUAAAACUAAUGAAUUAGUUUAGCAAUACCCUUGCUCAGGUGUGCCUCCAUUCGCUGACUCUUACUAAUUAAAUCUGCAAGGAAUACGCAAAGCAGGUUUACCCUACUGAACAGAGGUCACAAACCAGAGGGUAGCAGCAGCUUUGGGUAGGUCCCACACAAGCAGAUCGGCUCUGCAUCUCCCUAGUCAAUAGCCCAUGCACCCUGCGAAUGAAGCCAUCUCCCAGCAGUGUUGGUCACUCAAAGACCACCCACUGCAUGAGUGGUAUGAAUCAUAGAAUCAUAAAACCAUUAAGGUUGGAAAAGACUUUGAAAAUCACCUAGUGCAACCAUCAACCCACCCUCACCAUGCUCACUGACCCUCAGUGCCACAUCCUCACGGUUCUGGAACAUCUCCAGGGACCUCCCUGGGCAGAUGGUUCCAGUGCAGCACCUUUCUUUCUGAAAAGAAAUUUUUCCUAAUAUCCAACCUGGCACAACUUGAGGCCAUUCCAUCUCAUCCUAUUGCUGAUACCUGGAAGAAGAGGCCAACCCCCACCUUGCCACAACCUCCUUUCAGGUUAUUGUGGAGAGAAAUAAGGUCUUCCUGAGCUCCUCUUCUCCAGCCUGAACAACCCCAGCUCCCUCAGCCGUUCCCCAUCAGAGCUGUGCUCCAGACCCCUCACAGCUCCGCCGCCCUUCUCUGGACACACUCCAGGGCCUCCAUGUCUUUCUUGCAGUGAGGGGCCCAGAACUGAACACAGCACUCGAGGUGCAGCCUCACCAGAGCUGAGUACAGAGAGAUGGUCACCUUCCUGCUCCUGCUGGCUGCACUAUUUCUGAUACAAGCCAGGAUGCCAUUGGCCUUCUUGGCCACCUGGGCACACUGCUGGCUCAUGUUUGCUGGCUGUCAGCUAGCACCCCCAGAUCCUUUUCCUCCACGCAUCUUUCCAGCCACUCUGCCCCAGGUCUGUAAUGAUGCAUGGGGAUUUUGUAACAGAAAUGCAGGAUCGAGGUCAGCUGCCCUGGACCUAUACACCUACAGCAGAGGACAUCACACCAUGUAUGAGUACAGGAUGUGGCCUUCCUGACCAUCCAGUUAGUUAAUCGUGUUUGUUACAGACACUGAUAUCUGUUAGCUUUGUGACAAGGCCAGAAUGUAUUGCCUGAACUUUGUGCUGGCUUAAAAAAUUAUAAACAAGCCAUUUUUUUAAUUCUUAUUUUUACUGGGAAAGCUGUUACAGGCCUGGUUUGUGGCCAAUUUCAGUCAGUGGCAGGCUUUAAUUGGGUUUUGUUUCCAGCAGCAGCCUCUUUUAAAAUCAGCCCUCUGCUCGUAAGCAGGACUGGGCCCUGUCAGACUUCAGUCACUCCAUCCUAGGCCAGGCUUUGGGACAGGGGAUGAUGGAUUACUGUCAGAGCAGGCAUGUGAGCGCUGGUCGCCUCAGCAUGGGCUGUUUGCUCCACAUUGGAAAGAAGGGAGAAAUACAGCCCUGGGGAGGGGGGGUUUGGUGGCCGGGCCAACUGCCAGCCUCCAUUUCCAGAUAGGGAGGAAGGGCUCAAGCCUUUUUAGGCAUUUUCUUGGACUUCCUCUCCAUCGUUUAAUUAAAACACCCAGAAAAGAGCUAUGCACCCUUCAUUCCAUGCCUCAGCCCUUGCCUUGGCCCUGUGAAUGGGGAUGGGCCCAGUGCAGGCCAUGUCCCAACAGACCUGGCACCCACCUCGGCCAAAAUAAGUCACGAAGGUUUUUCUUGCAAGGGAGUAAAUGUGCAGUGAUGACUCAGGCACAGCCACCAAGCCCCAGUCUCUUUCAUGGGGCCCACACCCUUGUGCCAAGCAUUUACUCCUUGCUUCCAUCGUGUGAGCUGGUGAAAGGCUCAUCUGGACUUUCCAACAUUUUAUGACGUCUGUACAUCUCCCACUUUGCAGUUUUUCUUCCUUAGAGCUGGUUCUUGAACAGCAAAAUAUUUGCAAUUGUGUAAGUAUUGAGAAUAAAGUAACAACACCUGGAGGCAUUCAAGGCCAGGCUGGAUGGAGCCUUGGGCUACCUGAUCUGGUGCUUCAUCUGCCCACGGCAGGGGGUUGGAACCAGAUGAUCUUUGAGGUCCCUUUCAACUCAAGCCAUUCUAUGAUUCUGUGAUUUAACAUCAAACUUCAAAUCACUUUUCUGAUCACCAGGGAAAGCCUGCUACGUCCCCCCAGUGUCAUCUGUAUGUUUCUUCCGCUAUAACAGAAGUAAAACAAAGCACUUCAUGUCUGCGUGAUGAAAACAACAUUAAAAAGUUCUCUAAAAUUUUGCAGUGGGACAGUAUUUAGGGCUAUAACACCAUCAGAGUCUGAUCUCCAUGGCCCCUUGUACAAGGCAGUUGGAGGAUGCUAACAACUUGGCCUCAUGACAGCAUAAAGUCCAAGGCCACCUAACGUCAGCAUCACUUGAUAGAAGAGAAUGAGAGAAGAAAAACCUCAUGGAUUUUGCAACGUGAAGAUUCAUGAUGGACCUUCUGGGAAGAGAAGUGAUAAAGCCAAAUGCAUUAGGAAGGUAAGUAACUGAUGAUUAACCUUAUUGUUUUACACACCAAGAUGUUGCAUUAGUAUCACUUGGCUUUUGGUGUUUGUGGUUAAUUAUUGACUUCUACCUAUGUGUAGAAGGAAAGCACUCAUGAAGGCUCAUGUGAAAAACAGGGUCCCAUUAGCUCCGUCUGAAGGCCAAUGCCCUCCGUAGUGAACACCACUCUAUUCAGUACAUUUCUCUGCUGAAGAGUAAAUUCCUUCCUGACCUUACUGCAAGAAUCACCUUAUAUCCUGAAGCAUGAAAAUGAGCAAAUCAGAAAAAUGUUACUAUUUCCUACUUUAAAUUUUGAUUGCAAACAUCAAGAGAUAGACUGCAGUUCAGUAUAUAGAAUAUUGCAGUACAUAAAAAAAAAUCUAAAUUCAAUGAACACACUGUUAAAUGAAAAAAAGGCAUAACAGAAACAUAUUUUGCUCCUUAUAAGCACAUGGAUGGACAGAGGAUUUAUAUCUGUGGGACAAUUCAGAAGCAAAUUAAAAAAUAAGUUUAGGGUUUAAGCUCAGCAGAUUUCAAAACACAUUGUUUAUACCUUCUGCAGCACAAUAAAGCUUAUCAAGAAGUUUCCCAUUGGAUACCAGAGUCAAAAGAAGUAAGAGGAAUGUGAACAGCACGCUUCCUCAGGGUCAUUCCUAUCACUGUAAUUCUUUCAGCACAGAUUUUCCAUAUUAGCUUGAGCUCCAUCGCAUAAAGAUCAUUUUUAGGAGAUCAUUGUGAAUACAGUGCUGAGCUGACCAAAUUGGUCAGACGUUUGCCAUCACUUCACCAUCCACACGCUCAAAGCAACUUAACUAAAAAUAUGAUGUUUUCGCUCUGUAACCUCUUGCUUUCGUCUCUGUAGUACUUCAGGAUAAAUCAGCUGCUGCUGUAAAUGUAUUCAUUUAAAUGCAAUUUCAUUCAGAAGACAGAAGAGAGGUCACAGAGAAACAGUGGCACCGACGUUCCUGUGUAACGAUCCCAAUGUGCUUUAUGUAAGAGGGGAAGCAUCACCUCCCUGCUGAAGGGAAGAGCUGAGCUUCGGGAGUGAAAGAUGGUGAUUUGCCAACACUGGGACAGCAGGCGAGUCUCCUGGUGCUAUUCCACACUUGUGCUUUUGACGUGGAACAGAAUAUGAAAACAAUGCAUAACGAUAAAUGCAUUUCAGAGUGUGAGAUCAGCUUUAAAUCACCAGAUUUCAAGCAGUGGUGUUUCCUACACAGAGUCCACCUCUGCCCCUCUGCUAAACCCAGCAGUCUACUCUGCACUUUUUGCUCUUUCAAAGGGACACUGUAUGGCAUGUUUGUUAGGACGAUAAUGCUGCAUUUGCUAAUGAAAUUAAGUGUUUUGGAGAAGUUCUUUUAAGCAAAACCAUGUGUUCCGGGGAGGAAACAUUCUUCUGGUAAACAGCUGAGCCCUUAACAUUUAGCAACAUAACUCUGUUUGCAGCUAUUGAAAGCUGUGUGACUAAGGAAGCCUGCAUUUCUGGGGCCGAGGACUGCAAGCAUUUUGCUUGUUGUCAGCCAGCCAGGCGUUUCUUUUAUGUAUAAGCUAGCUGCAAGAACCAGCUAUUGACUGGUUGCUUCUUAUGGUUUUAAUAAAAUUUGUCUCGUAUCAAAAUGUUGCUGGGUUUCAACAUUGACACCGUGCUGAGCAGCGCUCUCUGCUCAGGCACAGCUGGGUCCUGCUUUCCAGAAAUAUCACUGUGCCCUGGCAUUGCUUGCAAAGAUUGAAGCCUUAAAUCAUUUCCUCAUCCUUCUGACCCACUCCAAGAGGGACCCUCUGCAUACAGGUCCCCCUCUUUCAUUGGAAGCAAGGGUCAUUCCUCCUUCUCCCACUUAGGAGAAGCUGCAGCAGCUGGAGGCAGUUGAAGCACAGAGGAGAAAUUACCUGCUAGCCACAGGCAUCAGCCACGGGAAGCUCACAAGAAAGUGAAAACAGCUGGAAACUAUAGAAGGGGACAGGGACGAGAAGAUAGGAGCAUCCCACGCACCAAUGGGAGGGGGAAAUGCUUGUGCUAUCGAUGCUAGGACACCACGUUCUGGGCACUUCACUGACUCUCACAGCACGACAGGAUGUUAUCUCAUUCCCUGUAGCCCUCAGAGCAGCUGGGCAUGCUUACAGUGUUCAACUGCUACCAGCUAAGACCAAAUGAGAUCCCAUGAUAAAAGUUCAAGGUCUCGCAUUCCUCGUCUUAUUGCUUUACUGAGCAGGUUCUCAUUUUAAUCAGACUUACGGUACUUUCACCCAGCUAUCUCAAAGCACAUAACAACCACUGUAAUUACUGGCAAUAAUGAGCUAAUUAAUUCUUCUGGGUAUUAUUUCUCAAGGAAUAAGUACUACUGUCCUCAGUGUGGGGAUGUGGAAACUGAGGUAAGGAGGAGAGGUGCUUGUUCUUUGGAAAAUAGCUGUUUUCUUUUUACUAGUUGAAUCUUUUCUUAGUUUUAUUCAUAUAGAUCUACAUGUUUGGUUUUUAGAAUACUUUAUGUUUUAUUAUUGUUUUCCAGUAAUUUAAAAUAUUUUCAUUUUGGCAGAUGACACUUAACAACAGUUGGUUUUGUGCUUCUGUAGUGAGGUUCAGUUAAGAAAACUGCAAUGUUUUUAGGAAAAUGAACAGAUGCUGAAGGCUUUCUCCCUUUUAAUUUUUUAUUUAUUUAUUUCUACUCUAUUUAUGUGUUUUUUUUUCUUUUUCUUUUCUCCUUGUCUUUUUUAGGGAGCUGGGUAUUUUCCCAGUAAAAAAAUGACAAGUAGCAUUUCAUCUUUAUUUUUAAUUUAUUUUCCAUAUGCUUCAGCUUAUAUCUAUUUUCCUAAUGUGGAAAGCUAACAUGUAAAGAAC